rnacentral:rRNA from 1 species
UACGUAGGGUGCGAGCGUUGUCCGGAAUUACUGGGCGUAAAGAGCUCGUAGGUGGUUUGUCGCGUUGUCCGUGAAAACUCACAACUCAAUUGUGGGCGUGCGGGCGAUACGGGCAGACUGGAGUACUGCAGGGGAGACUGGAAUUCCUGGUGUAGCGGUGGAAUGCGCAGAUAUCAGGAGGAACACCGGUGGCGAAGGCGGGUCUCUGGGCAGUAACUGACGCUGAGGAGCGAAAGCGUGGGGAGCGAACAGGAUAG